AGUAUAUAAAGUGGGGGGAGUUACCCGGAAGGCCCAGAUCCCUGCUCAGGUCGGGCUGGGUAUCAGUCGUCAGGUGGUGAGCGAUUGUGUUCUCUCACCUUGCUAUUUCCCUUAUCAUUAUUAUUGUUGGUGGUAUCAGCAGUGGUUUGGGUU